UACGUAGGGGGCAAGCGUUGUCCGGAAUCAUUGGGCGUAAAGAGCGUGUAGGCGGCCCGGUAAGUCCGCUGUGAAAGUCGGGGGCUCAACCCUCGAAUGCCGGCGGAUACUGUCGGGCUAGAGUCCGGAAGAGGCGAGUGGAAUUCCUGGUGUAGCGGUGAAAUGCGCAGAUAUCAGGAGGAACACCGAUGGCGAAGGCAGGUCUCUGGGCCACUACUGACGCUGAGAAGCGAAAGCAUGGGGAGCGAACAGG
rnacentral:rRNA from 1 species